rnacentral:rRNA from 1 species
GAUACCCCACUAUGCUAGCCGUAAACUUUAAUACAUCCAUCGCCGGGAACUACGAGCAAAGCUUAAAACCCAAAGGACUUGACGGUACCCCAACCACUAGAGGAGCCUGUCCUAUAACGAUAACCCCGUUAACCUCACCCCUUUAGCCUAUCAGCCUGUAUACCUCCGUCGUCAGCUUACCACGUGAGCGCAUCUUAUGAGCUUAAUGUCCACACGCCAAAACGUCAGGUCAAGGUGCAGCACAUAGGGGGGAAGAGAUGGGCUACACUCUCUAAUUUAAAUACCGAAUGACUAUUAUGAAAACUAGUCUAAAGCGGAUUUAGAAGUAAAAAGAAACCACAGUGUUCUUUUUACCCGGCACUGGGGUGUGUACACACCCCGUCACCCUCUUCAAGCCCAACAAGUCUAUAACUACCCUGUAAAGGCAAGUCUACGGUAA